UACGUAGGGAGCAAGCGUUGUUCGGAUUUACUGGGCGUAAAGGGCGCGUAGGCGGCAGAUCAAGUCAGCUGUGAAUCUCCGAGCUUAACUCGGAACUGUCAGCUGAUACUGUUUUGCUAGAGUGCGGAAGGGGCAAUCGGAAUUCUUGGUGUAGCGGUGAAAUGCGUAGAUAUCAAGAGGAACACCUGAGGUGAAGACGGGUUGCUGGGCCGACACUGACGCUGAGUGCGCGAAAGCCAGGGGAGCAAACGGG
rnacentral:rRNA from 1 species